rnacentral:piRNA from 1 species
UGUGUGGAAGGGGUUGUACUAAACAG